rnacentral:rRNA from 1 species
GUGGGGGAUAUUGCACAAUGGAGGAAACUCUGAUGCAGCGACGCCGCGUGAGUGAAGAAGUAUUUCGGUAUGUAAAGCUCUAUCAGCAGGGAAGAUAAUGACAGUACCUGACUAAGAAGCCCCGGCUAACUACGUGCCAGCAGCCGCGGUAAUACGUAGGGGGCAAGCGUUAUCCGGAUUUACUGGGUGUAAAGGGAGCGUAGACGGAAUGGCAAGUCUGAAGUGAAAUCCUGCGGCUUAACUGCAGAAUUGCUUUGGAAACUGUCAAUCUGGAGUGUUGGAGAGGUAAGCGGAAUUCCUGGUGUGGCGGUGAAAUGCGUAGAUAUCAGGAAGAACACCGGAGGCGAAGGCGGCUUACUGGACAAUAACUGACGUUGAGGCUCGAAAGCGUGGGAAGCAAACAGGAUUAGAUACCCUAGUAGUCC